CUGUUUUCAGUUAAUGCUGCCUGAAUGGGACUGAGAAUAGAACCAUCAACUGGAAAGCAGAAGCAAGAAAGGCGAUACAAGAAGAGAAGGAUACGUUCCUGAAUGAGGACUCAACAAUGAGCUCUGUGCUAACUUUGGAAGUUCCUGUUUCCAUCCUGAGUUGCUACCUCCUUUUCUGCCUUGAAGCUUGGUUACUCUUCCAUUAAACAGCUAACAGCAGCUUCAGCACCAUGGACAGCGUAUUUUAAUGAAGUGGUAAUAGGAUGGAGAGUUA